rnacentral:lncRNA from 15 species
AUGAUUUCUGUGUGUCUUUAUUUGCUUUGUGAUCUAAAUGCAAUCAGAUUUUAUUUUAAAGGUUAUAUUCUCUGUAUUCACAGACUUUCUGAAUGUGGACUCUCAGAGACUCACUGUGAAGUCGUGGCCUCAGCUCUGAAGUCCAACCCCUCCCAUCUGAGAGAGCUGGACCUGAGUAACUACAACCUGAAGGAUUCAGAUAUGAAGCUGCUGUCUGAUCUUGUGGAGAGUCCACACUGUAGACUGCAGACUCUGAGCUGGAAGUGAUCUCAGUCAGACUGUGAGCGGUGAGGAAGGAGGUUGUGUUGGAGGAUCCGCUGUGUCCUGAUGAUCCAGAGAGGUUGAAGCAGCAGCAUCAGCUCUGACUGGGCCAUGUUACUGGGAGGUAGAGUGGAGAGGAGAGCUUGAUCCAGCAGUGACUGACAGAGGAAUCACAACCAGUGGAGACAAUUCUCAGUGCUGCAGUCUGAACUGCUCUGAGAUCAGCUCCCUGUGUGUUCCUCUGGAUCAUGUAACAGAGUAUCAUCAGUGUAUCUGGAGCGCUCUGCUACUGCUACAGACACCUCCUCCACUUGGACCUGGACCUGGAACCUCCAUGGUGCAUGGAUGUAGGCUUGAACAUAUAAAUACUUGUGACCAUAUAUGUGUGUAUGGGUAAAGUGUUCAUAAUAAGAUGAAUUUGUAGCUAUAGCUUGAUUUUCUUCCCCUCUCUUUGUUGCACCGGGUGUAUACAAAAAUAAUAAUGACACAAUCAUGUAAAAUUGCUCUACAACAACAUUAUAGAAAAGUACCAGCAAAAUGAUUUUUAACAAAACCCAACACUGUGUACCAAGAAUAAAACAAUCUACAGAAUCAGAGAAAAAUAACAGUAAUUGUAGAAGAGAGAAACAGGUUAAUCACUAUGUCAUUAAAGUCCAGCUCAAUAGACAGCAUAGCCAGUGAGUUGAGCUGGUCCUGUCCCAUUAUACUUUGAAAGAAGGAUUUGAUCCUCUUCAGUGUAAUGAAACACCUCUCUGACUCUGCAGAUGUAAUGGGGGGUUGUGAUGACUGUUUGCGUUACUUUCAGUGUUUCAGAAAAAGUGCUCUGAAGAUUGUUCUCAGUCAGCAUCCUCAAUAGUGAC